rnacentral:lncRNA from 10 species
GCAGUUUGCUGUUCUUAAGCCAACAAGCUCCAAGGGCCAGCACGCACUUCCUGUCCUGCUGGCCGGACUGGGCCUGGUGACCCUGUCGCCGCAGGCCUUUUGCAGCACAGGCUCUGAGAGCAACGGUGCGGUUGCCUGACUGUCACGGAACAAACACACACCAGGCGAGCACUAGCCUGAGGCCGAGGGGCACAUGGAGCUGGCCUGAGCCCAGCCAGGAGUCUGGAAGCAAGCCCAGCUCCUCCCGGCCGUGCCCUCGAGGGCCUGACCGCGAAACGCUCGUACGCACGGGUUGGAGUUGUUUGCCACGCGUGGCAACUGCGGCAGGAACCUGACUCACGCACGGACGCCAGCACCCACAAGUGAGAGGCGCCUCAGACACGUGGUGUCGGCUUUGGAAGCAGCUGGUGGGUGGUGAGGAAAUGUCACAGCUCUGGAAAGACAGAGGCCUCUGUAAGGUGGUGUCAAAAUGCCAGGUUGAAUCAACAGUCAUCUGCGGGGACUCUGAAGGCAGGCAAUCCGCCCAGUGAACUGGCAGCACCGGGCAGGAGGGUCUGGAGGGAGAACCCUGGUGGCAUGGCUGGUGUGUGAGGAUCAAAGGCAGAGGAGAUCUUUCCUCUUCAGCAUGGUAAUUUGGCACUGGGCUAAGCCUCCAGCUGCCUCCCGCUGGUGACCUGGUAAAGGGGAACAUAAACUCCUUUGGUCGGCAACAUUGCUUACGGCAACACUGCCCUGUGGCAGGCAGACCACGUGGGGACUGGGGAGUCAUUGGUGUCUGGGAGGCCACGUCACUGGCCUUCCUGAGUGAUCCCCACACCUGGGAAUGUGCCCUGCGGGCCAUAGCCGCGGGAUUGCUGCAGGAGGAACUUCGCCUCCCGUGGGGCAAGAGGCAUCUCCGUGAGUGGGUCCCAGCCCCUGAAUCGCAGUGGGAAUCAGGGAGGCGGCAACACCUGCGUGCCGUCAUAAAGACCCCCACCAUGCCCUCGUAAAGACCCCCAUCACACCGUCCUGAAGACCCCCACAUACCCUCGUAAAGACCCCAUCACACCAUCCUAAAGACCCCCACACACACUCGUAAAGACCCCAUCACACCAUCCUGAAGACCCCACACACCCUCGUAAAGACCCCAUCACACCGUCCUAAAGACCCCCACAUACCCUCGUAAAGACCCCAUCACACCGUCCUGAAGACCCCACACACCCUCGUAAAGACCCCCAUCACGCUGUCCUAAAGACCCCCACAUACCCUCGUAAAGACCCCCAUCACACCAUCCUAAAGACCCCACACACCCUCGUAAAGACCCCAUCACACCAUCCUGAAGACCCCACACACACUCGUAAAGACCCCAUCACACCGUCCUAAAGACCCCCCCUAUUGCCGGGCGCGGUGGCUCACGCCUGUAAUCCCAGCACCUUGGGAGGCUGAGGCGGCGGAUCACGAGGUCAGGAGGUGGAGACCAUCCUGACUAACACGGUGAAACCCCAUCUCU